rnacentral:lncRNA from 1 species
GAUACUCUGCGAAGGUUCAGUAACUACUACUUCAGUUUGUCUAAGUUGUCCCUUGAGUAUUUUCGGUAGAGACUUUGGGAUAGACCUUGUGUGUCUUCCACUAGUGCAGAUUGAUGUUAUUCUGGUAUGACUGGUUGGUGUUUAACACCGAGUUUCUAUCAACUGUUUUGAUAAGACAGUGAUAUUCCCUGAGAUUGAGGAAGGAAAGAGUUUGUUUCUAUCAGCAAGGCAG